rnacentral:rRNA from 1 species
ACGCUGACAGAAUGCUUAACACAUGCAAGUCUUUGGCGAAGCUGUGCUUGCACAGCCUAGCCAAGGCGGACGGGUGAGUAACGCGUAAGGAACUUGCCCUGCAGUCAGGGAUAACAGACGGAAACGACUGAUAAGACCUGGUAAAGUCAGGCGGACUCAUGUCCAGCCUGAUGAAAAGAGAUGCUGCAGGAGAGCCUUGCGUCCUAUUAGCUUGUUGGUGGGGUAACGGCCCACCAAGGCGAUGAUAGGUAGCCGGCCUGAGAGGGUGGACGGCCACAAGGGGACUGAGAUACGGCCCUUACUCCUACGGGAGGCAGCAGUGGGGAAUAUUGGACAAUGGGGGCAACCCUGAUCCAGCAAUUCUGUGUGCACGAUGAAGGUUUUCGGAUUGUAAAGUGCUUUCAGCAGGGAAGAAAAAAAUGACGGUACCUGCAGAAGAAGCGACGGCUAAAUACGUGCCAGCAGCCGCGGUAAUACGUAUGUCGCAAGCGUUAUCCGGAAUUAUUGGGCAUAAAGGGCACCUAGGCGGCCAGAUAAGUCUGGGGUGAAAACUUGCGGCUCAACCGCAAGCCUGCCCUGGAAACUAUGUGGCUAGAGUACUGGAGAGGUGGACGGAACUGCACGAGUAGAGGUGAAAUUCGUAGAUAUGUGCAGGAAUGCCGAUGAUGAAGAUAGUUCACUGGACGGUAACUGACGCUGAAGUGCGAAAGCUAGGGGAGCAAACAGGAUUAGAUACCCUGGUAGUCCUAGCUGUAAACGAUGAUUACUGGGUGUGGGCAUGAAGAGUGUCCGUGCCGAAGCUAAUGCGAUAAGUAAUCCGCCUGGGGAGUACGGCCGCAAGGCUGAAACUCAAAGGAAUUGACGGGGACCCGCACAAGCGGUGGAGCAUGUGGUUUAAUUCGACGC